rnacentral:rRNA from 1 species
GGCGUAAAGCGCACGUAGGUGGUUUUGUAAGUUGAAUGUGAAAGCCCCGAGCUUAACCUGGGAAUUGCAUCCAAAACUGCACGACUAGAGUAUGGGAGAGGGAGGUAGAAUUCCAGGUGUAGCGGUGAAAUGCGUAGAGAUCUGGAGGAAUACCGGUGGCGAAGGCGGCCUCCUGGCCUAAUACUGACACUGAGGUGCGAAAGCGUGGGUAGCAAACAGGAUUAGAUACCCUGGUAGUCCACGCCGUAAACGAUGAGAACUAGCCGUUGGUCUCCUUGAGAGGUUAGUGGCGCAGCUAACGUGAUAAGUU